UACGUAGGGGGCAAGCGUUGUCCGGAUUUAUUGGGCGUAAAGCGCGUGUAGGUGGCCAAGUAGGUCCGCUGUGAAAACUUGAGGCUCAACCUCAAGCUGUCGGUGGAAACCCCUUGGCUAGAGUCCGGAAGAGGAGAGUGGAAUUCCUGGUGGUAGCGGUGAAAUGCGCAGAUAUCAGGAAGAACACCAAUGGCGAAGGCAGCUCUCUGGGACGGUACUGACACUGGAGACG
rnacentral:rRNA from 1 species